rnacentral:rRNA from 1 species
UACGUAGGGGCCGAGCGUUGUCCGGAGUUAUUGGGCGUAAAGCGCGCGCAGGCGGCUUCGCGCGCCCGACGUGAAAGCCCCCGGCUUAACCGGGGAGAGUCGUUGGGGACGGCGGAGCUUGAGGGCGGGAGAGGUCGGUGGAAUUCCCGGUGUAGUGGUGAAAUGCGUAGAUAUCGGGAGGAACACCGAUGGCGAAGGCAGCCGCCUGGCCUGACACUGACGCUGAGGUGCGAAAGCGUGGGGAGCGAACGGG